rnacentral:rRNA from 1 species
GAUGAACGCUGGCGGCGUGCCUAAUACAUGCAAGUCGAGCGAACAGAUAAGGAGCUUGCUCCUUUGAAGUUAGCGGCGGACGGGUGAGUAACACGUGGGUAACCUACCUAUAAGACUGGGAUAACUUCGGGAAACCGGAGCUAAUGCCGGAUAACAUUUAGAACCGCAUGGUUCUAAAGUGAAAGAUGGUUUUGCUAUCACUUAUAGAUGGACCCGCGCCGUAUUAGCUAGUUGGUAAGGUAACGGCUUACCAAGGCGACGAUACGUAGCCGACCUGAGAGGGUGAUCGGCCACACUGGAACUGAGACACGGUCCAGACUCCUACGGGAGGCAGCAGUAGGGAAUCUUCCGCAAUGGGCGAAAGCCUGACGGAGCAACGCCGCGUGAGUGAUGAAGGGUUUCGGAUCGUAAAACUCUGUUAUUAGGGAAGAACAAAUGUGUAAGUAACUGUGCACAUCUUGACGGUACCUAAUCAGAAAGCCACGGCUAACUACGUG